rnacentral:lncRNA from 1 species
AUGUGUAUAUUAAGUAUGGCACACAUGAAUGAAUUGGGACCUUAUCAACGUAUUGUGUUGAAAGAAGACUUAACGAAUCCAGCAGUUCAAAAACAUGUUUUGCAGUGAGACGAAUGGUGACAGUGGCUUUGUGGCAGUUAGUAAAAACUGUGGCAUUUUACAUUGAUGAUGGCUACCAUUUACAGAAAAUUUCUCAACUAAUAGUGACAUUCAAUUGAAAGUAAUAGCAUAUCUUACACUGACUAUACAUCAGAAUGUUGUUGAAAGAAGCCAUGGCAAAAAGUGGAAAAUACUGAUCAAUAUACUUCAAUGACCUUGGAACUGAGUAGAAAAUGGUGACAUUUUAGCACCAUAUUGUGUGUAUACUUUUUCUUGCAUCCGCACAGUCCGGUCAGGAUCCAUGCUGUUCACUAAUGGUUUCUAUGGUUGCAAUAGCAUUUGAAAGCGAACAGCAUGGAUCCUGACCAAAUCAAGCUGAUGCGCAGGCUGGUCUGUAUCCAUGCUGAUCGCAAAGCCAGUAUGUUGGUUUUCUCCUGGCACAGCUCAUAUAUAAAUUUGUUUCAUGCAUGUAAAUAAUAUUAUGUUUUGCUUAUGGUAUUUUGUCAGCACAGGUAAUGAAACACUAAAAAAACAUAAAAUAUUUUGUUAGUGUUUUGUUUAAAUUUGUAACCUUGCUCUUUUGCAUAUCAUAUGUUUUGUUGGUAUUUUGUUAGCAGUGUUUUGUUAGUGUUUUCUUUAGCUCAUAUAAUGAAACACUAAUAAAACAUUAAGUAUUCUGUUAGUGUUUUGUAUAAGCCUAAUUUGCAUAUCAUGUUUUGUUGGUAUUUCGUUAGCAAUGUUUUGUUAGUGUUUUGUUAGUGUUUUGUUACCUCAUUUGCAUGUCAUUUGCUAUACUAAUAAAACAUCAUCAAAACACAG